GAAGCCUAGGAGAGCCGCCGACUCCAACUAUCGUCCAUGUACGAUCCAUACUAGAUCUGACCAACUGCCCAUCCUACCUCCUCUACCUUUUUGAUAGCCCAUCUUUUUGUCUCAGUAGAGGAGGUAGGAUGGGCAGUUGGUCAGAUCUAGUAUGGAUCGUACAUGGACGAUAGUUGGAGUCGGCCGCUCUCCUAGGCUUCCCUCAUCUGGGAUCCCUGGGGGAAGAGGAUCAAGUUGGCCCUUGCGAAUAGCUUGAUGCACUAUCUCCCUUCAACCCUUUGAGCGAAAUGUGGCAAAAGAAAGGAAAAUCCAUGGACCGACCCCAUUGUCUCCACCCCGUAGGAACUACGAGAUCACCCCAAGGACGCCUUCGGCGUCCAGGGGUCACGGACCGA